CAGUCGCCGCGGGAAUACAGAGGAUGCAAGCGUUAUCCGGAAUGAUUGGGCGUAAAGCGUCUGUAGGUGGCUUUUCAAGUCCGCCGUCAAAUCCCAGGGCUCAACCCUGGACAGGCGGUGGAAACUACCAAGCUGGAGUACGGAAGGGGCAGAGGGAAUUUCCGGUGGAGCGGUGAAAUGCGUUGAGAUCGGAAAGAACACCAUUGGCGAAAGCACUCUACUGGGCCGACACUGACAUUGAGAGACGAAAGCUAGGGGAGCAAAUGGGAUUAGAUACCCCAGUAGUCCCUGUCUCUUAUAC
rnacentral:rRNA from 1 species